GAAGGCUGAAAUUGCAAUGAAUAUGGGUGAAACUCGUAUUAUUUCUAGUGCUAUUCUUUCAGCCAUAGAUGAAGACUCGCCCAGGGAGAAGAUUUACUAUGUAUUUGAAAGGCUUCCCCAAAAUGGGCAACUUCAGCUUAAGAUAGGGAGGGACUGGGUUCCUCUCUCCCCUGGCAUGAAAUGCACUCAGGAGGAAGUGGAUCUGAACUUGCUGAGAUACUCACACACCGGGGCAAUGGAUUCCCAGAAUCAAGAUAGCUUCACCUUCUACCUUUGGGAUGGCGACAACAGGUCCCCUGCUCUUGACUGUCAAAUCACCAUCAAGGACAUGGAGAAAGGUGAUAUUGUCAUCCUUACAAAACCACUCGUGGUGUCUAAAGGUGAUAGAGGUUUCUUAACAACCACCACUCUCCUGGCUGUGGACGGAACAGACAAGCCUGAGGAACUGCUCUAUGUCAUCACCUCCCCUCCACGAUAUGGCCAGAUCGAAUAUGUUCACUAUCCUGGAGUUCCCAUUACAAGCUUCAGCCAAAUGGAUAUAGUGGGGCAGACAGUUUGCUAUGUACACAAGAGCAAGGUGACUGUCUCCAGUGACAGAUUCAGGUGAGCCCCAUGGAAACUUUUCAAACCCCUUCUUUGGAUUAAUACUUACAGAAAAGGAGAUCUGUUAAUGUGCUUCACUGUAGUAACCAUUUCACAAA
rnacentral:sRNA from 1 species